CACCAGCCGCGGUAAUACGAAGGGGGCUAGCGUUGUUCGGAAUUACUGGGCGUAAAGCGCGUGUAGGCGGGUCGUUAAGUCGGGGGUGAAAGCCCAGAGCUCAACUCUGGAACUGCCUUCGAUACUGGCGACCUGGACCCAAGUAGAGGCAAGUGGAAUUGCGAGUGUAGAGGUGAAAUUCGUAGAUAUUCGCAGGAACACCAGUGGCGAAGGCGACUUGCUGGACUUGUGGUGACGCUGAGACGCGAAAGCGUGGGUAGCAAACAGGAUUAGAUACCCUGGUAGUCCACGCCGUAAACGAUGAGAGCUAGUUGUCAGUAAGCAUGCUUAUUGGUGACGCAGCUAACGCAUUAAGCU
rnacentral:rRNA from 1 species